rnacentral:tRNA from 1 species
GCGGGUAUAGUUUAGUGGCAAAACGCGUGCUUCCCAAGCAUGAGAUCGGGGUCCGAUUCCCCGUACCCGCA